GAAUAGAGUGGAAGAAGGAGUUCAGAGAGAAGAAGGAACAACGGAAAAUGUCUUACCGAAGAAACCGCGCUGUGUUUUAGGUGGUGGUGUGCGGUCCACAGCCCCUGACUCCGAUAUCAACUUUAAAAUGCUCAGGUGAGGCAUGGUUUUUCCAAAGCUACACUGGGAUCCGUAAGAUGUCUGAAGGCCAGAGCUUCUGCUGGUAUCGAGUCACCUGAGCAGCAACCCAUCAAACCAGACAACACGCCACUUCCCUGUGGAAAUGACAUCACAGAAACAUGAGAUGUCUUUGCCGGGUAUUUUACCGCAGCAACAGGAAACAGACUAAGACACCCACCCACCGUUUGUUUGCUGCAGGUGCCCUAAGUCCCGGACUGCAUCUACUUCCUCAGGACAUAGUGUGUGCUGAGCUGCAGGAGGCUGUGAAUGACCGGCAGCGUUUGCAUGUGUUGAUU